GAACUUUCCUAUCCUUAAGAGGAGCUCUGAUGCCAGUGAUUAAGGUAACAAGAGGCUGGACCCAAAAAUUACCUCCGUGCCUUGGGUCAGCCGAUACCGGGACCACCACCAAGUCCUGCCCAGCCUCCUCUGAAAAGCCUGCAAGGUAAAUGCUCUUUGGAAUUUGUUGGCUGACCUUCUUUUUAAGCCAAGAAAACAGAAACUGAACUGAACCUUAUGAUGAGAGAAAGAAGGGCAAAGAAAAGGCUGAAGGUGGCGUGUGUAAAAGCCUCAAAGCCGAAGGAGAGGCAGCUCCUGCAGAAGAAAAAGUCUGCUGACCAAGGGCCUGGAAAUGCAUGACCAAAGAAACCACACUACAAGGACAGUGGUACCAGGGCUAGAAACAUGUUCAGAAAAGAUGUUUGUCAUAUUGAGACGGAAAACAUCAAUACUUUUAAAACCUGAAAGGCAUCAGGCUGAACUGGGCAGCUGGACAGACAUCUGGACUGUGCUACCUUGGGGCGGCUUAUUUCAACACAAUUAACAGCAGAACAAAGAAGACCAAGCUUUUUAUCACAUUUUAAAAACCAAGUUACUUAUUGCCUAUCCUUUCUCUUGCUCCGUUGUCCCCUCCACAGCAUGCAGAUAUUCCCUAAAGUGGACUAUGCCUCUCUGAUAUUUACAAAGACAUAGGUAAAAAUGAUCAAAACAGUUAAGUUCCGGGAUCAGCUAAUGAAAAAGCACAUUAAUACAACUGCCUAAUUUUGUACCUGUGACAAAACUGGUUAAAAUCAGUGGGUAAAAGCUAGUUGGGAAACCUACAACACUACUAAUUUUCAGCCAGCAUGGAAUGGAUGCAGCUAGAGAGAAACGUUUCACAAUAGGAAGCUCCUAUGAAAAGAAUAAAUGAGUAGAAAUGGGCAAAGGUGAAGGGUUCAAUGAUUAAAAUGAUGAUCUCUUUAUCCUUCCUGUUUGCAAGUAAGCCUUGGGAUCACCAUCUUAACUAGAUUUAUAGUUAGAUCAAAACACUGCACGCAGACACACACCCAAGAACAAGCACCACUUUGGGACAGAAGCAUUGUACAUUUCAUGAUUUUACAUCGUAUGUACCACUUCCAUCCACAACCUGUCCCUUUUAAGAGAACAGGCUUUAUAUUGGAAAACAUCGUUCACCUAUUUAGAAGGCCGACCACCAUACCAUCGGGGCUCUUGAGCAGUAGUAGCAAAUACGGGAGAUACUUCAGAGGGUGCGUUGUCUGGGAUUCAUUGCCAUUUCUCUGACAAAACGCAGGUGGGACAUGUUCAGGUUUCCAAGCAAGGAAAAUUCUACUUGAGAAUCUCAUUACUUCUGGACUUGUUUGAACUGGCUAUCCACAUUAGCCUGGUCUGUUGCAAGUACCAAACAUUUGUUGUAAGCCUGGUUCAUCUGCUGUGACCUGCUGACAGCUAUGCAAUUCACUCACUUAGGCUAUUUGACCUUUUAGUUGACGUUAAUUAAACAAACUAAACACUGAUUCUGUACAAGAGGAGUUCUAAUAUCUCAACUAAGAGUGUAAUGUUAAAAACUUGCUGAAAUAAAAAUGUGUUACUUUCAUAAAACUAGGUGUUAUUCAGUCUACCCACACUCCAAAAGCUAGUGUUUCUAUAUUCUUAUUGGGCUACUAAAAAUAUGUUUCCCACCCUCUUUGCAUUGAAUUGGUUAAGAGGGCAACAGCGCAAACACAGAGAACGCUAAGAGGACCAAAAUGUUUGCAAACAAACUUUCAUUAUUCUAGUUCAAUCUUUCACAAACAUACUGUACAGAGUCUUAUAUGGUAUAAAACAAAGAAAACAUCUUUGUCUAUUCCACUUAACAACACCAAAAUAAAGCAAUUAAGACUUUGGGGAAUUCAAAGGUAACAAGAAAACAAAAA